CAAUAGCGUAUAUUAAAGUUGUUGCAGUUACAAAGCUCGUAGUUGGAUUUCUGGUGGGAGCGAUCGGUCUGGCGCUUAGCGCGAGUACUUGCAUCGUCUCCGGCCAUCCUUGGGGAGAGUCUGUCUGGCAUUAGGUUGUCGGGCAGAGGAUCCUCAUCGUUUACUGUGAAAAAAUUAGAGUGUUCAAAGCAGGCUUAUGCCGUUGAAUAUAUUAGCAUGGAAUAAUAAGAUAGGACUUUGGUACUAUUUUGUUGGUUUGCGCACCAAAGUAAUGAUUAAUAGGGACAGUUGGGGGUAUUCGUAUUCCGUUGUCAGAGGUGAAAUUCUUGGAUUUACGGAAGACGAACUACUGCGAAAGCAUUUACCAAGGAUGUUUUCAUUAA
rnacentral:rRNA from 1 species